AAUUCUGAGAAGUGAAAACCCUAGCCAGUAGACAAGGAGGCUCGACUGAUCGACACUGGAAUCUGAACCCUAUUCAACAAAAAGGAAAAACCCUAAGAAGAACAAGAAGAGGGCGACGGUCGACUCUGCAAUUUAAAUAACGGUGCAACAGAUAAAGGGAGAUCAUCUUUAAGGUGCUUUUUUACCUAGAAAUCUGGGAAAGAUGACACAAGAAAAGAUGCCAUUUGUUGAGCCACAGAAGCAUAUUAAGUUACAGAGUCAUCUUCGGAUCAAUGAUUUACCAAAUUGGAUGGGCUUCUGAUGAUCAAGAGCCUCUGUUUCUUGGGCAUCUGAGUUGUGACCAAAUGAUGAAGAACUUCCCUGAAAGGAAAAUGGAAAAAACCCUUUAACACCUCUCUUUCUCUUCAAGUUUGGACAGCGUGAAGUCAUGAACAGAUCAAGGAGACACUGGGCCAACAGUAUAAUAUUCAAAAAACAAUCAGCAUACCCCAUAAUCCCAUGGUCUCAAGAUGAAGAAUGCAGAGACUAUAGCUCCCCUGAAAUUACCAUACAAAUGGACAAGCAGAAAGUAAAGAUGGCCUCAGGUGAAUGUCAGUUGUGGUGCAUGAGGAGUAAAAGAUUACCUUUUGCAUAUCCGGACUAGAAGAAGAAGAAGAAGACUCCAUCGUGUGAGGGGAGAGUGAGCUGGAGCUGGACCUGGACUGGACUUGGAGCUGAACCGGACUUGGAGCUGAACCUGGACGGCAGUGGAGGAGGAGGAGGAGGAGGAAGAAGAAGAGCAGAUGUUUUAUCAAUAUUUUGAUGUGUGAAUUAUAAGUCUAUAUAAUAUUAGAUUAUUUAAAAAAAAAAAAAAAAACUUUAUGUUUGCACAGA